GCUUCGUUAGCGUAGUUGGAUUAUCGCAUCCGUCUAAUACACGGUGCACUCGGUUUACUGAGUCCAAAAUAUUACAUCAACGGAAGGUCACUGGUUCGAGCCCAGUACGGAGCA